AUGGCCCGGCUAGAUCAAGUCCACUCCAAGGUAAAUCUCUUCGUGAGUUCUCCGGGGGAGAUCCACCAGGAUCAGGUUCAUGUGGCACGGGUGCUCAAGGAGUCAUCCAGCGCGAGGGAUGCGAAUAUCGGCAGUAUGGCGGCGCCGCCGCGCCGGGGUGUUUCGCCUUUUUGCUGCCCGGCAGCAGUAGCGCAUGCCAGUGGGUCGACUUCGAAGGAACAACACCGCCCUCCUCCUCCAGUGGAUCCUGGCAAGGUACCUCCAACACCACAGUAUUCCUCUUCGUUUGACGAGCAUGGGUCGAAGCGGCCGUGGAUGCCUAAGAUAGAAUUUCCGAGGUUUGAUGGAGUGCGUAUUUGGCUUGACAAUUGUGAGGCCUAUUUCCAACUGUAUCAAAUUCCUGACAAUUUCAUGGUCAUGUCCGCAUCUCUGCACCUAUACGGCAAUGCAGCACACUGGUAUCAGGCGUAUAAACUGUAUGAUUACUGCUCUUCAUGGAGUCAGUUUGCCUCCGCUAUUCUGCUGGAGUUUGACCGGAACAUGCAUCGAAACUGUAUGCGCGAAUUGCUAGUAACUGAAACAGGUUGGUUCAGUUCAGGAAUGUCGCAACAACCUCAACCAAUUGGUGUACCAAGUGCGACUGUAUGA
rnacentral:rRNA from 1 species